AAACUGCGAAUGGCUCAUUAAAUCAGUUAUCGUUUAUUUGAUAGUACCUUACUACAUGGAUACCUGUGGUAAUUCUAGAGCUAAUACAUGCUAAAAACCCCGACUUCGGGAGGGGUGUAUUUAUUAGAUAAAAAACCAAUGCCCUUCGGGGCUCCUUGGUGAAUCAUAAUAACUUAACGAAUCGCAUGGCCUUGCGCCGGCGAUGGUUCAUUCAAAUUUCUGCCCUAUCAACUUUCGAUGGUAGGAUAGUGGCCUACCAUGGUGGCAACGGGUAACGGGGAAUUAGGGUUCUAUUCCGGAGAGGGAGCCUGAGAAACGGCUACCACAUCCAAGGAAGGCAGCAGGCGCGCAAAUUACCCAAUCCCGAUACGGGGAGGUAGUGACAAUAAAUACUGAUACAGGGCUCUUUUGGGUCUUGUAAUUGGAAUGAGUACAAUUUAAAUCCCUUAACGAGGAACAAUUGGAGGGCAAGUCUGGUGCCAGCAGCCGCGGUAAUUCCAGCUCCAAUAGCGUAUAUUAAAGUUGUUGCAGUUAAAAAGCUCGUAGUUGAACCUUGGGCCUGGCUGGCCGGUCCGCCUCACCGCGUGUACUGGUCCGGCCGGGCCUUUCCUUCUGGGGAGCCGCAUGCCCUUCACUGGGCGUGUCGGGGAACCAGGACUUUUACUGUGAAAAAAUUAGAGUGUUCAAAGCAGGCCUUUGCUCGAAUACAUUAGCAUGGAAUAAUAGAAUAGGACGUGCGGUUCUAUUUUGUUGGUUUCUAGGGCCGCCGUAAUGAUUAAUAGGGAUAGUCGGGGGCAUUAGUAUUCAAUUGUCAGAGGUGAAAUUCUUGGAUUUAUUGAAGACUAACUACUGCGAAAGCAUCUGCCAAGGAUGUUUUCAUUAAUCAGGAACGAAAGUUAGGGGAUCGAAGACGAUCAGAUACCGUCGUAGUCUUAACCAUAAACUAUGCCGACUAGGGAUCGGUGGGUGUUACUAUUAUGACCUCAUCGGCACCUUACGAGAAAUCAAAGUUUUUGGGUCUGG
rnacentral:rRNA from 1 species